UACAGAGGGGGCAAGCGUUGUUCGGAAUUACUGGGCGUAAAGGGCGCGUAGGCGGCCUGUUAAGUCGAACGUGAAAUCCCCGGGCUCAACCCGGGAACUGCGUCCGAUACUGGCAGGCUUGAAUCCGAGAGAGGGAUGCGGAAUUCCAGGUGUAGCGGUGAAAUGCGUAGAUAUCUGGAGGAACACCGGUGGCGAAGGCGGCAUCCUGGACCGGCAUUGACGCUGAGGCGCGAAAGCCAGGGGAGCAAACGGG
rnacentral:rRNA from 1 species